rnacentral:rRNA from 1 species
UACGUAGGUCCCGAGCGUUGUCCGGAUUUAUUGGGCGUAAAGCGAGCGCAGGUGGUUUAUUAAGUUUGGUGUAAAAGGCAGUGGCUCAACCAUUGUAUGCAUUGGAAACUGGUAGACUUGAGUGCAGGAGAGGAGAGUGGAAUUCCAUGUGUAGCGGUGAAAUGCGUAGAUAUAUGGAGGAACACCGGUGGCGAAAGCGGCUCUUUGGCCUGUAACUGACACUGAGGCUCGAAAGCGUGGGGAGCAAACAGG